AUUGAACGCUGGCGGCAGGCCUAACACAUGCAAGUCGAACGAGUGGCGGACGGGUGAGUAAUGUCUGGGGAACUGCCUGAUAGAGGGGGCUAACUACUGGAAACGGUAGCUAAUACCGCAUAACAUCAGCUGUCCCCAAAUGGGAUUAGCUUGUUGGGUGGGUAACGGCUCACCAAGGCGACUAUGCCUAGCUGGUCUGUGAGGAUGACCAGCCACACUGGAACUGGGACACGGUCCAGACUCCUACGGGAGGCAGCAGUGGGGAAGAUUGCACAAGGGGCGCAAGCCUGAUGCAGCCAUGCCGCGUGUAUGAAGAAGGCCUUCGGGUUGUAAAGGACUUUCAGCGGGGAGGCGUUACCCGCAGAAGAAGCACCGGCUAACUCCGUGCCAGCAGCCGCGGUAAUUC
rnacentral:rRNA from 1 species